rnacentral:misc_RNA from 1 species
GGCGUGGAGCUUGUAGCUUGCCAUAUUUGCAGAUAUUGGAGAUCAACCUUGAAGAUACAAGUAACCUGUAAAAUCAUGGAGAUUCUUCACCAGUUGGAUUGCCACCAUCAGCCCAGGUCAACAAAGAGUAAUACCAAUGGCAAUCUCUAUUGCACUUGCACAAAAUUUAAUGUUCCCUACUUCACCUCAACCCAACUACAGCCUGGAUUCUUUCUCAACCCAAUUUCAUUCAUUUUUACUCUAGUAUGAACUGCAUCAUUCCACCUACCAGAUUGAGAAUAUAAACUUGA